UCAAUAAGCUAUGUCAUGUGUGUUUUCUUAGGUGCUUUGUAACUGGUGGGGCUGGAUGGUGUUGAUGAGCCACCUACAUUUAGAUCAUCAUAUGAUUCUUUAGUUUCUUGCUUAAAUCAUAAAAAAAUAGGUUUGUUAUUUGGCAUAUGUGUAAAUAUAUUUCAUCUUACAACAAGAUCUUAGAUCUCAUAAGAAAAAUACAUCUUUUAUCCUAAUUUUCUUUUUUUCUAUUAUUUUGUGAUAUGUGUGAAUGUUUACUUUAAGGUCUAUUAUUAUUGUUUGAAAUUUAGUAUUUUUUGUUAAAGGUUAUUAACUCUUAUUGUCGAUAUUUUUGUUUUUUUUUUAAGUUGGGUUUGAUCUAAACUGUUAAAUCUUACUAUUGAUUGUGAUGGAUAUAAUCAGUAUAGUUAUUGAACUAAUAAAAGUGUUUAUUUUAUGGCACCUUUUUAGUUUCUCUUAUUAUUUAUGAAGAAUUUGAAAUAUAUUUAUAUCGAAAGUUACAAGAACUCAAAACAUAGCGGGAGGCAAAUAAAAAGUGAAACGAUGGUAAAGCAUUAUUCUAGAAACUGUCGUUGUAAAAAAAUAUUGUAUCUUCAAUAAGCUAUGUCAUGUGUGUUUUCUUGGGUGCUUUGUAACCGGUGGGGGUGGAUGGUGUUGAUGAGCCACCUACAUUUAGAUCAUCAUAUGAUUCUGUAGUUUCUUGCUUAAAUCAUAAAAAUAGGUUUGUUAUUUGGCAUAUGUGUAAAUAUAUUUCAUUUUACAAUAAGAUCUUAGAUCUCAUAAGAAAAAUACUUCUUUUAACCUA
rnacentral:lncRNA from 1 species